CUGCCUACUGCGGGCCAGACGCUUUGAAAACAUUAUCCCGUUAAUACCCAGCGUACCUCAGUCAGGAAAGUUUAUUGUCCUUGAUUUUACAGGGACGAGGAGGGAACUGAGGCUCAGAGACGUCUGUCUGUCCAGGGUUCCACUCUGGCCAGGGGCAGAACCAGGGGCAGGCCUUCAGCUGUGCUGGGCUCCGGGGGGCCCUUUCCUCUAGGUCCAGGCCAACCCCUUCCUUUUGAAGAUGAGAAAACUGAAAGCCAGCGAGGCUUGCUCGGUGGCAGCUCUUCCUUGGGGCCGGAGAAUGCAAGUCCAAAC
rnacentral:lncRNA from 1 species